rnacentral:rRNA from 1 species
ACUCCUACGGGAGGCAGCAGUGGGGAAUAUUGCACAAUGGGGAAACCCUGAUGCAGCCAUGCCGCGUGUGUGAAGAAGGCCUUCGGUUGUAAAGCACUUUCAGUAGGGAGGAAGGUAGUGUAGUUAACACCUGCACUAUUUGACGUUACCUACAGAAGAAGCACCGGCUAACUCCGUGCCAGCAGCCGCGGUAAUACGGAGGGUGCGAGCGUUAAUCGGAAUUACUGGGCGUAAAGCGCAUGCAGGCGGCCUGUUAAGUCAGAUGUGAAAGCCCGGGGGCUUAACCUCGGAAUUGCAUUUGAAACUGGCAGGCUAGAGUCUUGUAGAGGGGGUAGAAUUUCAGGUGUAGCGGUGAAAUGCGUAGAGAUCUGAAGGAAUACCAGUGGCGAAGGCGGCCCCUGGACAAAGACUGACGCUCAGAUGCGAAAGCGUGGGGAGCAAACAGGAUUAGAUACCCUGGUAGCACAGAG